rnacentral:rRNA from 1 species
UACGAGGGGUGCAAGCGUUGCUCGGAAUUAUUGGGCGUAAAGGGCGCGUAGGCGGUUUGACAAGUCUGAUGUGAAAUCUCUGGGCUCAACCCAGAGUCUGCAUUAGAAACUGUCGGGCUUGAGUAUGGGAGAGGUGAGUGGAAUUUCCGGUGUAGCGGUGAAAUGCGUAGAUAUCGGAAGGAACACCUGUGGCGAAAGCGGCUCACUGGACCAUAACUGACGCUGAGGCGCGAAAGCUAGGGGAGCAAACAGG